AGAGUUUGAUCCUGGCUCAGGACGAACGCUGGCGGCGUGCUUAACACAUGCAAGUCGAACGGAAAGGCCCUUUCGGGGGUACUCGAGUGGCGAACGGGUGAGUAACACGUGGGUGAUCUGCCCUGCACUUCGGGAUAAGCUUGGGAAACUGGGUCUAAUACCGGAUAGGACUACGGCCUGCAUGGGUUGUGGUGGAAAGCUUUUGCGGUGUGGGAUGGGCCCGCGGCCUAUCAGCUUGUUGGUGGGGUGAUGGCCUACCAAGGCGACGACGGGUAGCCGGCCUGAGAGGGUGUCCGGCCACACUGGGACUGAGAUACGGCCCAGACUCCUACGGGAGGCAGCAGUGGGGAAUAUUGCACAAUGGGCGCAAGCCUGAUGCAGCGACGCCGCGUGGGGGAUGACGGCCUUCGGGUUGUAAACCUCUUUCAGCAGGGACGAAGCGCAAGUGACGGUACCUGCAGAAGAAGC
rnacentral:rRNA from 1 species